rnacentral:rRNA from 1 species
CUACGGGGCGCUGCAGGUAAGAAUAAUCUACAAUGCACGCAAGUGUGAUAGUUUGAGUCAGAGUGCGUUUCAAAUUGAAACGCUUUUUUGAAAUGUAAAAAGUUUCAAGAAUAAGGACUGGGUAAGACGAGUGCCAGCCGCCGCGGUAAUACUCGCGGUCCAAGUCGCAGCCAUUUUUAUUGGGUCUAAAACAUCCGUAGCUUGCUUAUUAAGUUUCUUGUGAAAUCCUAUCUCUCAAGGGUGGGGCGUGCAAGAAAUACUGAUAAGCUAGAGACUGGAAGACGUAACGAGUACGUUUAAAGUAGCGGUUAAAUGUGUUAAUCUUAAGCGGACUACCAACAGCGAAGGCACGUUACGAGGACAGUUCUGACAGUAAGGGAUGAAGGCUAGGGGCGCAAAGGGGAUUAGAUACCCGAGUAGUC